GACGAACGCUGGCGGCGUGCUUAACACAUGCAAGUCGAACGGAAAGGCCCUGCUUUUGUGGGGUGCUCGAGUGGCGAACGGGUGAGUAACACGUGAGUAACCUGCCCUUGACUUUGGGAUAACUUCAGGAAACUGGGGCUAAUACCGGAUAGGAGCUCCUGCUGCAUGGUGGGGGUUGGAAAGUUUCGGCGGUUGGGGAUGGACUCGCGGCUUAUCAGCUUGUUGGUGGGGUAGUGGCUUACCAAGGCCUUGACGGGUAGCCGGCCUGAGAGGGUGACCGGCCACAUUGGGACUGAGAUACGGCCCAGACUCCUACGGGAGGCAGCAGUGGGGAAUAUUGCACAAUGGGCGGAAGCCUGAUGCAGCAACGCCGCGUGCGGGAUGACGGCCUUCGGGUUGUAAACCGCUUUCGCCUGUGACGAAGCGUGAGCGACGGUAAUGGGUAAAGAAGCACCGGCUAACUACGUG
rnacentral:rRNA from 1 species